GAUUAAGCCAUGCAUGUCUAAGUAUAAGCAAUAUAUACAGUGAAACUGCGAAUGGCUCAUUAAAUCAGUUAUCGUUUAUUUGAUAGUACCUUACUACUUGGAUAACCGUGGUAAUUCUAGAGCUAAUACAUGCUAAAAAUCCCGACCUCUGGAAGGGAUGUAUUUAUUAGAUAAAAAACCAAUGUCUUCGGACUCCUUGGUGAUUCAUGAUAACUUUACGAAUCGCAUGGCCUUGCGCCGGCGAUGGUUCAUUCAAAUUUCUGCCCUAUCAACUUUCGAUGGUAGGAUAGUGGCCUACCAUGGUUUCAACGGGUAACGGGGAAUUAGGGUUCUAUUCCGGAGAGGGAGCCUGAGAAACGGCUACCACAUCCAAGGAAGGCAGCAGGCGCGCAAAUUACCCAAUCCCGACACGGGGAGGUAGUGACAAUAAAUACUGAUACAGGGCCCUUUUGGGUCUUGUAAUCGGAAUGAGUACAAUUUAAAUCUCUUAACGAGGAACAAUUGGAGGGCAAGUCUGGUGCCAGCAGCCAAUC
rnacentral:rRNA from 1 species